rnacentral:rRNA from 1 species
UACGAAGGGGGCUAGCGUUGCUCGGAAUCACUGGGCGUAAAGGGUGCGUAGGCGGGUCUUUAAGUCAGGGGUGAAAUCCUGGAGCUCAACUCCAGAACUGCCUUCGAUACUGAGAGUCUUGAGUCCGGGAGAGGUGAGUGGAACUGCGAGUGUAGAGGUGAAAUUCGUAGAUAUUCGCAAGAACACCAGUGGCGAAGGCGGCUCACUGGCCCGGUACUGACGCUGAGGUGCGAAAGCGUGGGGAGCAACAGG